GAUGAACGCUGGCGGCGUGCCUAAUACAUGCAAGUCGAACGAACGGACGAGGAUCUUUCGUCUCUUUUGUUAGCAGCGGACGGGUGAGUAACACGUGGAUAACCUACCUAUAUGGCUUGGGUAAGUUCGGGAAACCGUAGCUAAUACCGGAUAAUAUUUUCAACCGCAUGGUUCAGAAGUGAAAUACGGUCUUGCUGUCACUUAUAGAUGUAUCCGCGCUGCAUUAGCUAGUUGGUUAGGUAACGGCUUACCAAGGCAACGAUGCGUAGCCGAGGGGGGCGGCGGAUAGGCGACCUGGGAGGGUAACCACGGUCCCGAGGACUAAGGGAGGCAGCAGUCGGGAACCUUACGCAACGGGCGAGAGCAUGACGGAGCAACGGCGAGUCAGUGAUGACGGUCCUCGGAUCGGAAUACUCUGUUAUGAGGGAAGAACCUAUGUCUAAGUAAAUGAACAGAACGUGACGGUACCUAAUCAGAAAGCAACGGCUAACUACGUG
rnacentral:rRNA from 1 species